UCUGCUUUAUCUUUCAGCUACCAUUUCGCAACCUCUCCAGAGCUUUCUGACUUAUGAGUUUUUCUCAGAUCUAUCCGUUCUCGCUACUCCUCUUCAAUUUAUCUCUCCCGAUCUGAAUAGAUCGUUCGAUGAUCUAUAGAUUGACUAUGGCAUCGAGCAGUUUUGAGGAUUGGUCCGGCUUAUGUCGAAUUUUCUAUUUGACUUAUAAGCCGGCGGAUGUCCGAUCGGAUUUGAUGUAUUUUUGGGAGAUUGAUUGAGAGGCUGGUCGUUAUUUUAAUUGGGUUCGAAGUAUUUGGGACGGAAAUUCGAAAGAUUUUCUAAGGCUCGUGACAAUUAAGAUUUUGGUUGAGCUUGUCAAGAAGAUUGGGCUGUGAUGAAUGGUAAGCUACGAAAGGUCUACGAGAUCUGUUAGAUCGGUUCGGACCUUUAAGAUCCGAGAAGUCAGAAGUACGAAGAUGAUUGAUCGGAAAGGGAGCUUCUGCAUGGGGUAACGAAGCCUAUGAUCAAUUAAACGGAGGUUUAGUUAUCUGAUCCACCGGUUGUUUAAUUCUAGUUAAUUUAAUUAUUGAUAAUUUGCAUGGUGAAUUAGAUGGCAUGUGUUUCUACAUGUAUUGAAGUCAGUGAAGAAAUAUAUCGAAGAAUCAGGAGAGAGAGAGCGGAAAAAAAUGUGACGAGUUCAUGUCCAUGCCGACCUUUGCCAUGUUGGGUGCGCUCGCAUGGCAGGUCAAAAGAUGCCUAAUAAAAAUUUACUUUUUGGUGUUUGAGGGAAGAUGGCACGGGGUUUUGCCCGGCUCUUCCCUCCUGUGUGCGCGUGUCCUGUUGUUUAUAUUUUGUUUCUUUAUUUCCUUGUGAACUCCCGCCUGCGAUCCUUCAAAAGUGGUGGCUUGAUUCGUUCCUUGAAUGGUAUGAUGCUUUUAAUCGAACCCAUUCAAGGCGGAGCAAGACCACCUUGAGCAAAUGGUUGCAUCUCAGCAAGCUAGGAUAUGUCUCCAGAUCCACAGCACUCACUCCAAAAGGUACUCCAAUUAAUGUUUUCCGUCCGUUUUUUACCUCGCAAUCCCAUCUAUGCGGUAUCUAAGCAUUACGUUACUCUUAUACCUUUAUCCCCUUAUCUAGCAAUUUAACUAAGCAGUUAAAUGUCGAUUAGAACCGUUUUAAUUUUGUUAAAUGAAGUGAAAACUAAAUAUCAACUAUCUAAGUUUGCCUUCAUUUUCCACAUAAAAGAUUGUAUUGUUAAUAUGUUAUUUCUAGUUUGCAAGUUUGCAGUUACUAUGUUUUAAACAAGGAUUCUGCAGUGAAGGCUUUAUAAUUUUUUUGGAAGAAGAGUGAACAAUAAUUUCUAACUAAAAUUGGUUGUCAUUUUCUACACACAAGAUUAUACUGUUAAUAUGUAAUCUUUACUUUUGUUAUAAUAACGAAGAAUUCGGCAGUCAAUCUUCAUUUUGCUAUGAACUAUUGACGGUUGAAUCUGGUUGCGGUACAUGUCUUGAAUCGGAUAACCUGUCAUUUUCAUAUCAGGAAAUGGAAAUUUUCUCCUGCACAAUUUACCAAUAGCUUCGUGCUGCAAUAUUGCCUGUAAGAACUUUAAUUAUUGGUCUAACUAUAGAUUAAAAAGAACUGAAAAUUGAAACGACUAUUCAGGUAUCUAUUUCUGUUAAAGAUAGAAGGCAGAGCCCCGAUUGGUCCAAGUGCCUUUCACUUUUUCAUUGUUUACCAUACAGAUUCCUCUCUUGAGAGAUGGUAACUCGCCUCAGCUCUCAUAGUUAUCGUGACUAACGAAGACUAACAAGGAUUCAUGCAUGAAAUAAUUUCGUAAUUUUCACUUUGAAAAUCUAAAUGUAAUAUGUACUGGAUUGCUUUCUGCCAAAAACGAAUAUUUUUGUUAAUUGCACUUACCUUGGGAGUACGAAGGCCCAAGAUCACUAGUAGAUUUUAUGUUGAAGAAUUAUGUUCAAAUUAACGUUAAGGAGUUUAAUUCAAGGCAAUUAAUGUACGCUUAGGGAGUGAUCACUGACGCCAGUAAUUGUGACUCAUUUUUAACACAGCAGAUUCUUAACUUGCCUUUGAGAAUGAUUAUUUUCUCUCCUUUUAAUGCUGUCUUACUUUGGAGUAAUUCAAUAAUGUCUUUAGAUUUUAUGUAACGGUAGGGCAGAUCAGUUGAUAUUUACAUGCUCUGGGACAUUGUUGUCGUUAAGUGAGCAUGUUGAAUGGUCUGACACUGUCAUCGUUGCAUAUUGUAUUUGUAGAUGAAUUUUAUGUAGGAAUUGGGCAUUUAGCAUGUAUAAUGGGUUGGUGAUAUUGCCGGUGCUGGAUACAGAGUUUUCCAAUGUAUGUGCGAAAUCACAGGAUUACAGGAAGUUUACUUGCUUAUUGUGGAAUAUAAGCUUUAAAUUUUGCGUGAAUGGUGCUGUUUCAAAAUAUGAGGAUCGAGUUGCUGAUCAGAGACUGAAGACUGAGAAAAGGAGGGGUUGCAGUGGAGGAAUUCAAUGUUGGUAGAUUCUGGAUGAUGCUGCUGAACGAGAGACCAAUCCAUACCAUCAAGGACGCCUUGCAGAAGAUUGCCUAAUAACCGUGGGGAAAGGCUUACGGGGAAAAAUUUGCAUAAUGGUUGGAUUGCAGUCAACUCGUAGGCCAUUCCUUCUAAAUUUGUUGGGGGGCAUUCAGCGUUUUCCCAGGUGCUACAUGCUUUCCCCUCGUAUGGUAAAGCAGGCUAUGUGAAGCUGUCAUCUUGAUUCUGCUUCCUUGCUGCUGCAUGUUGUGCUUCAUGCUGAGAUACAAAUACACUAAAUUGUUGGUUUUCUAUUGAGGUUCCCCUGGUACUUUACAUCAAAGCUGAAAAGGAUUCCUACAAAAAUAAUGUAGGGUUACUGUGCUGGAGACAAUCUCAUAUUUUCACAUUUUGUCAUGCUGAAGUCCCGUGUGUUUCUCAAUUGUGUAUCUUCCCGAGUGAUCAAGGUUGUAUAGAUGUCACUAUCAAGUCAACGAUUCCCAAAUGUUUAUCUACGGCAAGCGAUCAAGGUAUAGAUGGCACUUUUCAAGUUCUCGAAUGUUUAAUGCUCGCAGUAGGUGCCAUUUUUUUUUUAAUUCUCUUGGUGAUGUUUAAUCUCCUCUCCUACUUGUUUCAGUAAUCUGUUUUUAAAGAGUUCUGGUAGAAGGCAGAUUUUUCUGUUUG